GGACCAGGUGGUUGCGUGCGGCCACAGGAAGGGCUCGGGCUCGCCCGGCGUACCCGCGCACGCGCGCGAAGGGGUAGGGCGCGAGCACGCGAAUAGACUGAACUUGCGAGGAAAACGAAUACCUAGACAACUGCGUACAACUCAAGGAAAUUUUGUGGUGAAAUUAACAAGGACUACAAAAAGUGGAAGCUGCAACUCAAUCUCUCCAAAAGCUGAGGUUUCUGGAACUGAAACAUUCAAGAUGGAACAAAAGAAUUUUGUUCGGUAAUAUCAUUGAGCGUUAAGGAACAAAGAUUAUGUAUUGCAUUGAACUGCUGCUGCUAAGUUAACAAAUUUCACGUCACGUGCCGGUGAUAAUAAACCUGAUUCUGAUUCCAACAUCAAGGCGCCAAGAGAAA